rnacentral:lncRNA from 1 species
UUAAGAUACAAAUUGAAAAAUAACGUUAUUGCUUUAAAUUUUGUAAAAUCAGAAAAUAAUUUGGCUGAUCAGCUUACAAAAAGUUUGUCUAAAACAGUAGUUCUAGAGUCGUCAAGGGGGAUGGGGCUUAGCCCAUAAAGAUAGAUCACCACGGUGGGAACCUAACCUUAAAAGGUUCAAUGGGUAGAAACAAACCGGAGUGUGACUAAGAGGAACACUAUUUUAUGUUUUCCUCAUCCCUAUGGCGCUAGUGCUCAUAAAAGCAAGCGGUAGGAUGAGUUUGUUUAUAUAACUUUUAAUGAGUCCAAGACCCAAGAGGCAGGAGCUUCCUUGCUAGCUUCCUUAUUAUGACUCACUUAUAUAUGUAGUCGUGAGGCAGCGAUUAUGAAAAAUGGACGAUUCCCUAAAAAGCACAUGAAAGAUACCUGCGCAUGGCCAUAUUAGCGCAACCCGCUUAGAACCCAGAUCAGGCUAUAUUAUUUGUGUUGUUGAUUUAAUCAAUUGUCACUAAAUGAAGGUUCAAAUUGAAAAGUGCCUAUACCUAUUACAUAGUAUAAGAUAUCCAGCAUUUUAUUUGAUU